AUUGAACGCUGGCGGCAGGCCUAACGCAUGCAAGUCGAGCGGAUGAGGGGAGCUUGCUCCUCGAUUCAGCGGCGGACGGGUGAGUAAUGCCUAGGAAUCUGCCUAGUAGUGGGGGACAACGUCUCGAAAGGAACGCUAAUACCGCAUACGUCCUACGGGAGAAAGUGGGGGAUCUUCGGACCUCACGCUAUUAGAUGAGCCUGGGUCUGAUUAGAUAGUUGGUAGGGUAAAGGCCUACCAAGGCGACGAUCCGUAACUGGUCUGAGAGGAUGAUCAGUCACACUGGAACUGAGACACGGUCCAGACUCCUACGGGAGGCAGCAGUGGGGAAUAGUGGACAAUGGGCGAAAGCCUGAUCCAGCCAUGCCGCGUGUGUGAAGAAGGCCUUCGGGUCGUAAAGCACUUUAAGUUGGGAGGAAGGGCUCAUAGCGAAUACCUGUGAGUUUUGACGUUACCAACAGAAUAAGCACCAGCCAACUUCGUGCCAGCAGCCGCCGUAA
rnacentral:rRNA from 1 species